rnacentral:rRNA from 1 species
AUUGAACGCUGGCGGCAUGCCUUACACAUGCAAGUCGAACGGCAGCACGGGUGCUUGCACCUGGUGGCGAGUGGCGAACGGGUGAGUAAUACAUCGGAACAUGUCCUGUAGUGGGGGAUAGCCCGGCGAAAGCCGGAUUAAUACCGCAUACGAUCCACGGAUGAAAGCGGGGGACCUUCGGGCCUCGCGCUAUAGGGUUGGCCGAUGGCUGAUUAGCUAGUUGGUGGGGUAAAGGCCUACCAAGGCGACGAUCAGUAGCUGGUCUGAGAGGACGACCAGCCACACUGGGACUGAGACACGGCCCAGACUCCUACGGGAGGCAGCGGUGGGGAAUUUUGGACAAUGGGCGAAAGCCUGAUCCAGCAAUGCCGCGUGUGUGAAGAAGGCCUUCGGGUUGUAAAGCACUUUUGUCCGGAAAGAAAUCCUUGGCUCUAAUACAGUCGGGGGAUGACGGUACCGGAAGAAUAAGCACCGGCUAACUACGUG